rnacentral:rRNA from 1 species
AAAUUGAAGAGUUUGAUCAUGGCUCAGAUUGAACGCUGGCGGCAGGCCUAACACAUGCAAGUCGAACGGUAACAGGAAGCAGCUUACUGCUUCGCUGACGAGUGGCGGACGGGUGAGUAAUGUCUGGGAAACUGCCUGAUGGAGGGGGAUAACUACUGGAAACGGUGGCUAAUACCGCAUAACGUCGCAAGACCAAAGAGGGGGACCUUCGGGCCUCUUGCCAUC